GAGGGUGUGGUCUAACCUAAGACAGUAGCUUGUGGUGCUUCGCAUCCGCCCCGGCGGCGCCCUCU
rnacentral:tRNA from 1 species